rnacentral:rRNA from 1 species
AGAGAGAGACAUGCGCGCAUAUCAAUAAGCGGAGGAAAAGAAACUAACAAGGAUUCCCUUAGUAACGGCGAGUGAAGCGGGAAGAGCUCAAAUUUGAAAUCUUCAAGGUUUUACCUUGCGAAUUGUAGUUUAAAGAAGUGUUUUCUGUUGAAGUUUUGGUAAAAGUUCUUUGGAAUAGGACAUCAUAGAGGGUGAGAAUCCCGUAUUUGACCAUUAUUUUCAGCUUUGUGAUACACUUUCAAAGAGUCUCGGAUUGUUUGGGAAUGCAGUCCAAAAUGGGUGGUAAAUUUCAUCUAAAGCUAAAUAUUGGCGAGAGACCGAUAGCGAACAAGUACCGUGAGGGAAAGAUGAAAAGAACUUUGAAAAGAGAGUUAAACAGUACGUGAAAUUGUCAAAAGGGAAGCGUUUGACACCAGUGUUGUUUUCUCGAAAAUCAAUUAAAAAUGGCUCGAUUUUGUAUUGCUGAGACCUUAAAAGCUCACUGUACAUUUUUCGUGUCUUUUUUAAUGCACUUUUCGUUUAACAAGUCAACAUCAGUUUCUUUUGUUGUAAAAGGGUCAUUGGAAGGUGGCUUUCUUUUCGGAGAAAGUGUUUAUAGCCUUUGGCCUCUGCAAUCGAAGAGACUGAGGUCUGCAGCGUAGACUCUUCGGGGUUAGAUACAUUUGUGCUAAGUUAUAGCUUUUUAUAGACAACUUGUUGACUAUAAUUAGUCUUGUAGCUUACUCGCUUAUGCUAUUUUACCUACGCUUAGGAUGUUGAAGAUGUAGCACAUCAU